ensembl:snRNA U6 U6 spliceosomal RNA
GUGCUCGCUUUGGCAGCACAUAUACUAAAAUUGGAAUAAUACAGAGAAGAUUAGCAUGGCCCCUGUGCAAGGAUGAUACACACAUUCAUGAAGCAUUCCAUAUUUUU